UGCCAGCAGCCGCGGUAAUACGGAGGGUGCAAGCGUUAAUCGGAUUUAUUGGGCGUAAAGAGCGCGUAGGUGGGAGAGAAAGUCAGAUGUGAAAGCCCAGGGCUCAACCCUGGAAUUGCAUUUGAAACUCCUCUUCUUGAGGGUAGGCGGAGAAAACGGAAUUCCACAUGUAGCGGUGAAAUGCGUAGAUAUGUGGAGGAACACCCGUGGCGAAGGCGGUUUUCUAGCUUACUCCUGACACUCAAGCGCGAAAGCAAGGGGAGCGAACAGGAUUAGAUA
rnacentral:rRNA from 1 species